AUCCAUUCUGUGAGAGACCUUUUUAUGCACUACCUUGGUACAUGUUUUUGGUCUUUGCAUCCAUUCGUCUCUGUCCUGCUUCAGGUUUAAGUUUUUGAUCAAGGUAGUUUAUGACGAGGUUAAAGUCCAAUCAACUUGAAACUUUGUAAAUAUGUUCCCUAUAAUAUGAUCUUUCUAAUUUUAAUCCCAAAUUAGAGUUUUGACCCC
rnacentral:lncRNA from 1 species